rnacentral:piRNA from 1 species
CAGGUCUGAAUGAUGGCCAGGUUGUGAUGA